rnacentral:rRNA from 1 species
UUUGAUCCUGGCUCAGGAUGAACGCUAGCGGCAGGCCUAACACAUGCAAGUCGAGGGGUAACAUGAAGUGCUUGCACUUCGAUGACGACCGGCGCACGGGUGCGCACCGCGUAUGGAACCUACCUUUUACAGGGGNAUAGCCCAGGGAAACUUGGAUUAAUGCCCCGUAGUACCUUUUGUAGCAUUACAAGAUGGUUAAAGGCUUCGGCCGGUAGAAGAUGGCCAUGCGUCCCAUUAGUUAGUUGGUAAGGUAACGGCUUACCAAGACAGCGAUGGGUAGGGGCCCUGAGAGGGGGAUCCCCCACACUGGUACUGAGACACGGACCAGACUCCUACGGGAGGCAGCAGUGAGGAAUAUUGGACAAUGGAGGANACUCUGAUCCAGCCAUGCCGCGUGCAGGAAGAAUGCCCUAUGGGUAGUAAACUGCUUUUAUACAGGAAGAAAAAGGGGUACGUGUACCCCACUGACGGUACCGUAAGAAUAAGGACCGGCUAACUCCGUGCCAGCAGCCGCGGUAAUAAGGG